UACAGAGGGUGCGAGCGUUGUCCGGAAUUACUGGGCGUAAAGCGCACGUAGGCGGAUUUGUAAGUCAGGGGUGAAAUCCCGGGGCUCAACCUCGGAACUGCCUUUGAUACUGCAAAUCUCGAGUCCGGAAGAGGUGAGUGGAAUUCCUAGUGUAGAGGUGAAAUUCGUAGAUAUUAGGAAGAACACCAGUGGCGAAGGCGGCUCACUGGUCCGGUACUGACGCUGAGGUGCGAAAGCGUGGGGAGCAAACAGG
rnacentral:rRNA from 1 species